rnacentral:rRNA from 1 species
UGAGCAACCUGCCCUUGACUCCGGAAUAACAGCUGGAAACAGCUGCUAAUACCGGAUACGACCUCCGAUGGCAUCAUCUGGAGGUGGAAAGCUCCGGCGGUCAAGGAUGGGCUCGCGGCCUAUCAGCUUGUUGGUGAGGUAACGGCUCACCAAGGCUUCGACGGGUAGCCGGCCUGAGAGGGCGACCGGCCACACUGGGACUGAGACACGGCCCAGACUCCGUAGGGAGG